rnacentral:rRNA from 1 species
CAGUAGCCACGGGAAUACGUAGGUGGCAAGCGUUGUCCGGAAUUAUUGGGCGUAAAGCGCGCGCAGGUGGUUUAAUAAGUCUGAUGUGAAAGCCCACGGCUCAACCGUGGAGGGUCAUUGGAAACUGUUAAACUUGAGUGCAGGAGAGAAAAGUGGAAUUCCUAGUGUAGCGGUGAAAUGCGUAGAGAUUAGGAGGAACACCAGUGGCGAAGGCGGCUUUUUGGCCUGUAACUGACACUGAGGCGCGAAAGCGUGGGGCGCAAACAGGAUUAGAUACCCGCGUAGUCCCUGUCUCUUAUAC